AGAUUAAGUUAUUAAGGGCGCACGGUGGAUGCCUUGGCACUAGAAGCCGAUGAAGGACGUUACUAACGACGAUAUGCUUUGGGGAGCUGUAAGUAAGCUUUGAUCCAGAGAUUUCCGAAUGGGGGAACCCAGCACGAGUUAUGUCGUGUUAUCCGCAUAUGAAUUCAUAGUAUGUGAGAAGGUAGACCCGGAGAACUGAAACAUCUUAGUACCCGGAGGAAGAGAAAGAAAAAUCGAUUCCCUGAGUAGCGGCGAGCGAAACGGGAAGAGCCCAAACCAACAAGCUUGCUUGUUGGGGUUGUAGGACACUCUAUACGGAGUUACAAAAGUAUUUGUUAGACGAAUAACCUGGAAAGGUUAAUCAGAGAAGGUAAUAAUCCUGUAGUCGAAAACGAAUACCCUCUUGAGUGGAUCCUGAGUACGACGGAGCACGUGAAAUUCCGUCGGAAUCUGGGAGGACCAUCUCCUAAGGCUAAAUACUCUCUAGUGACCGAUAGUGAACCAGUACCGUGAGGGAAAGGUGAAAAGUACCCCGGAAGGGGAGUGAAAGAGAACUUGAAACCGUGUGCUUACAAGUAGUCAGAGCCCGUUAAUGGGUGAUGGCGUGCCUUUUGUAGAAUGAACCGGCGAGUUACGAUCUGAUGCAAGGUUAAGCAGAAAAUGUGGAGCCGUAGCGAAAGCGAGUCUGAAUAGGGCGAAUGAGUAUUUGGUCGUAGACCCGAAACCAGGUGAUCUACCCUUGGUCAGGUUGAAGUUCAGGUAACACUGAAUGGAGGACCGAACCGACUUACGUUGAAAAGUGAGCGGAUGAACUGAGGGUAGCGGAGAAAUUCCAAUCGAACUUGGAGAUAGCUGGUUCUCUCCGAAAUAGCUUUAGGGCUAGCCUCAAGUGAUGAUUAUUGGAGGUAGAGCACUGUUUGGACGAGGGGCCCCUCUCGGGUUACCGAAUUCAGACAAACUCCGAAUGCCAAAUAAUUUAACUUGGGAGUCAGAACGUGGGUGAUAAGGUCCAUGUUCGAAAGGGAAACAGCCCAGACCACCAGCUAAGGUCCCAAAAUAUAUGUUAAGUGGAAAAGGAUGUGGCGUUGCCCAGACAACUAGGAUGUUGGCUUAGAAGCAGCCAUCAUUUAAAGAGUGCGUAAUAGCUCACUAGUCGAGUGACACUGCGCCGAAAAUGUACCGGGGCUAAACAUAUUACCGAAGCUGUGGAUUGUCCGUAGGACAAUGGUAGGAGAGCGUUCUAAGGGCGUUGAAGCAUGAUCG
rnacentral:rRNA from 1 species